rnacentral:lncRNA from 1 species
UGCCGUGAGAGAGAAGGAAGUGGUGUGUGUGGAGUCUGAGAGUGCCGUGAGGGAGAAAGAGGUUGGCGGUGUGUGUGGAGUCUGAGAGUGCCGAGAGAGAGAAACAAGUUGGCGGGGUGUGUGGUGUCCGAGAGUGAGGUAAUGGUGGGGGUGAGUAGGGGCCGGGAGUGAGAGAGGGGUUGGUGGAGUGAGUGGAGGCCGAGAGAGAAGUAGAGGUGUGGAGUGAGUGGAGGCAGAGCGAGAAGUAGAGGUGUGGAGUGAGUGGAGGCCGGGAGGGAGCAAGAUGUGUGAGGUAGUGAGUUAUGUGGGAGGGAACGGGGUUGUGUGUGCCACACGGGGGAGGAGAGAGAAAGAGGUAGUGGCGGUGAGUAUGAAGUCCGAGAGAGAGAGAUCGGGAGAUGAAGCGAGUGAAAGUCGAUGUUGGUAAUGGGGUAGAAAGAUCAGAGUGUGUGUGUGUGGCCCGAUAGGGGUCGGUAGGUGGACGAUGGUCGCCGAGGUUGGUGACGAACGUGAAUGAAAAUGGUGUGCGUUCGCGGCCUGGUAGAGGUCUAGAGGUAGCCAAUGGUCGCCGAUGUUGGCGACGGAAGAGAAUGAAAAGGGUGUGUGUGUGGCCUGUUAGGGGUC